rnacentral:tRNA from 1 species
GGGCCCAUAGCUCAGCUGGUUAGAGCAGCGGACUCAUAAUCCGUUGGUCCCAGGUUCGAGUCCUGGUGGGCCCACCA